GUGGGGAAUAUUGGACAAUGGGCGCAAGCCUGAUCCAGCCAUGCCGCGUGAGUGAUGAAGGCCUUAGGGUUGUAAAGCUCUUUUGUCCGGGAAGAUAAUGACUGUACCGGAAGAAUAAGCCCCGGCUAACUUCGUGCCAGCAGCCGCGGUAAUACGAAGGGGGCUAGCGUUGCUCGGAAUCACUGGGCGUAAAGGGCGCGUAGGCGGACUCUUAAGUCGGGGGUGAAAGCCCAGGGCUCAACCCUGGAAUUGCCUUCGAUACUGAGAGUCUUGAGUUCGGAAGAGGUUGGUGGAAUUGCGAGUGUAGAGGUGAAAUUCGUAGAUAUUCGCAAGAACACCAGUGGCGAAGGCGGCCAACUGGUCCGAUACUGACGCUGAGGCGCGAAAGCGUGGGGAGCAAACAGGAUUAGAUACCCGGGUAGUCC
rnacentral:rRNA from 1 species